rnacentral:rRNA from 1 species
CAUGCAAGUCGAACGAAGCACUGGAAAUGAUUCCUUCGGUUGAGUUUCCUUUGACUGAGUGGCGACGGGUGAGUAACACGUGAGCAACCUGCCUUUCAGAGCGGGAUAGCAGUUGGAAACGACUGAUAAUACCGCAUGACAUGUCUCUUCCGCAUGAGAGAGACAUCAAAAUGAUUUUCGCUGAAAGAUGGGCUCGCGUCCGAUUAGGUAGUUGGUGAGGCAACGGCUCACCAAGCCGACGAUCGGUAGCCGGACUGAGAGGUCGAUCGGCCACAUUGGGACUGAGACACGGCCCAGACUCCUACGGGAGGCAGCAGUGGGGAUAUUGCACAAUGGGCGCAAGCCUGAUGCAGCAACGCCGCGUGAGGGAGGACGGUCUUCGGAUUGUAAACCUCUGUCCUUGGGGAAGAAACAAAUGACGGUACCCUUGGAGGAAGCCACGGCUAACUACGUGCC